rnacentral:rRNA from 1 species
CAGUCCCACGGGAACACGUAGGGUGCAAGCGUUAAUCGGAAUUACUGGGCGUAAAGCGUGCGCAGGCGGUUAUAUAAGACAGAUGUGAAAUCCCCGGGCUCAACCUGGGAACUGCAUUUGUGACUGUAUAGCUAGAGUACGGCAGAGGGGGAUGGAAUUCCGCGUGUAGCAGUGAAAUGCGUAGAUAUGCGGAGGAACACCGAUGGCGAAGGCAAUCCCCUGGGCCUGUACUGACGCUCAUGCACGAAAGCGUGGGGAGCAAACAGGAUUAGAUACCCCAGUAGUCCCUGUCUCUUAUACA